rnacentral:lncRNA from 1 species
UAUAUAUAUAUAUAUAUAUAUAUAUAUAUAUAUAUAUAUAUAUAUAUAUAUAUAUAUAUAUAUGUGUGUGUGUGUACGUACAUAAAUACAUAUAAAUAGUCAUUUUGUCCACGGAUCACCAGCAAGUUUGAUAUUUUAAAUAUUUAAAGCCAGCUAAAAGUAACACAGUUUGAACGAUUAGCAGCAAGAGCUUGUGCAAUACAAGCUGUCUGACAAAUGGCGAAAAUGUAUCCUAAUGGCAAAAAUAUAACUUUUAUUAUAACUUAAAGGUCGUGUUCUUACCAAAAACAACCGGCGACCUUAACGCAUUUACAAUAAGAUCCUAACUUUAGUUGAGUUGCUCUUGUGUACUUACUGACAUCAACUGUUUUUAAGCUUCUUGUGCUCGACGAGAGCCACAAAAGUUAAAAGAUUUUGCUGUCUCGUCCUCUAUGACUAAGCUAUUCUUGGCAACUGUAGAGGGCAAGUGGCGUCGGCGACGCGGUAUGUAGCGCUGCCAGCAACUAAUGAGCAACUGGUUGAGUUGUUGUUGAGUUUAUCGUUGUUUUGUCGGUUAAAAGAAGCCUUUUAUUAGUUGAAAACACGUGUAAUUAAACAUUAGCGCUGAGUCGCGUUGCUGUUCUGUUGCGGUCGCUGGUUGCUUUUGGUGAGAACAGCCCCAAAUGGUUGAAUAUGAAAAUGAAUUAUUAUUAUUAGAUUUAUGUUUGUAAAUUUAACUCUGAUGGAGAUCGUAGCUAAAUAGUUGUUCAUGAGAAAAAUGAUAGUGUUGGUCAUGGUGAAGUUGAGAAGAUAGAAUAGUGAUGGGACUUGGAUGGUCAUGCUUUCCAAGGUACCUUGGUAAAUGCGAACUCAAGUAGUGCUUCCCACUAUAUAUUUUUACAUGAACGUAUACUAACAAGCAAUGCACUGGAACAUAAAAAGACACUUAAGUAAAGUGCCGGUAAGAUAUAGUUUUUUAAUUUUAGCUGUAUAAUGCAAAGUAGACAUAUUUGAAACUUUUGGUAAAUAAACUUGUUAAAGGUUAUUCCUUGCUUUUAGUAUCCAAUAAUAACCAGUGAUGGAAACAGGUAUUUUCUCUAAAAUGGUAAAUUAAGGUAACUUUAUAUUCCCGCCUUUAUAUUUAAUCGCUUAGUAUAAUUUGAUUCUAUUUAUCAGGUUGCUGGAAAUAUUCAUUAGUUCAUUAUAAUGGUGAUGGCAAUCUUUGAAUUAUUUAGGUCAUGCAAUCUAAAACACUUUUUGUAAUAAUGAAACACUAAUAUACACACUUCGACCUAUUCGCCAUCUGUUGUUCUGUAUCUUUGUGAUCCAUUGAAAAUCAUUUAUAUACCCUUCUUAGUCCUAGUUCUCCACUCAUAGUUAAAACGUGUUAUGUAUUUAAUUUCAGUAAAUAUUUUUAAUAUAAGAGCUUUGACACUUUAAAUUUCGUUUGUCGCGUGUACCAACUUUUUUUCUAAUCUGAAUUCUCGAGACAUAUACUUAAGAUUAAGGAAAUACUUAAGAUUGUGAUCACUUAAUCUGUCAAUCCAGAAGGUGAAACUUAAGUCUUCAAACAAUAAACUGGUAAUGAGAAAUAAUAUUUAAUUAUAAGAUAUUGUUUUUUUCUUCAUCGGCCAAUUCUAUUAGUUAUCAGCCUUAAAUCUGAUAUCUGUAAACAAGAUACUUCCCUCUUUCAGCUUUAAACUAAAGAAACCAUUUAGAUUUUCUUCCUAGACACAUGUGAAAUGAGGUACUCCACAGAAGCGCUAAGGAAUACAUAAUACUAAAAGUUUGGCCAGACGAUCUGCAGUCAUAUUUCUUUCAAUGUCCUCAUGAAAUCCUACUCAGAGGAUGGUAACUGUGUGCGAUGUGUCGAGUGGCUAUACCAAUUGAACACGGGUCCAGAAUAAGUUAGAUUUAUAUUUGGAAUCAAAGCUACCUUGCUAUUAAACAAGAUAUAAAGUUUUCUUCAUGGGUUCAUUCUAUUAUCGCUGUCACCUCGGCCUGAUAUUUUUUUUGGGAGGUGGGAAUCUUCUCAAGGCCGUCUGGGAAGGUGUCUCAGGUUUGUCGGAUUCGUUCCGUCCUAUCUGUAUCUUGACGGGCCGCCUACCGACUAAUCCCACUCCCUCUUUCUCCAUCCGACGGGUCUGGAACCGCUCUUAGCGAGCAUAUCUGACCCGUUGACCUUACUGGUAGCUCCCCUCUGGCACUUCUAGCGUGUAUUCCAUGAAUUGGUUGGCCGUAUAUUGGGUCCCCCAACCCAGGAUGGAACUAACCAGAGAAUGUCAGUUGGCAGUUACGAGCAACUCCAGUUAAUCACACUUUCAUCUAUGCAUGAUUUCUCAUCCAACCAUUCAUAGUUUCUUUCAUUCAACUCCAAACAUUCCUUACUUUCAUCUAUACACACUUACCACCCAUUCAUUCUGACAUUUAGAUGGGGCAGUCUGUGUAGGUCGGAUGUAAAAGGUCCUUCCCCACUGUCUGUCCCAAAACGAUACAAAGCAUGCUAUAACAUACAAGGAAAGAACUAGAGUAAAAGCAGAUGAAAAGAAAAAGCAGAUAUAUGGCCGUUUUUCCUCCUAGGGUUUUGGAGAGAGUAAUUCAAGGUUUUUUUACUCUCCGGUCCAUUCACCUAUCUUUAAACAUAAUUUUUGGUUGUGGAAAUAAUAGUCAUUCUAUUUUUCCCGAUAAUUUAAGCUUCUGAAAUAGAAGUAUCAAAUAUAUUGGGUAUUUUAGAUAAACUAGUGAAUAGAGCCAGUAAUUUGUAUCUCAAAAAAUUGUAUAAUUUUGAAGUUUAAAUGUAUAAAAGUUUUUUUUGAAAACCCUUUUAUUUAUUUAAGCCAUGUGAAAGAUAUAAUAAUUGUAUUUUUCGUACUUAUUUGUGAUAACUUAUUAAUCUACGCGAUAUAGGGUCUACACCUUAUAUGUAUAUGUAUAUUUAUAUACAUACAUGUAUAAUACGUAUUUAAAAAAAAAUAAUGUGUCAUUUAUACAUAAUGCAUUUCCAAUUGCUAUAUAUGCUGUUUUCGGUGUCUUUUGUUAAGUUAUUUUGAUGUCUUUAUUCUGAAGACCACUGAGGUCUCCAGUCACGGACGGUUGAGGAUGGUUUUCCAAACAGAGUAUGAAUAUAUGAAAGUAUGAAAAGAAAGAAAGUAAGAAUACGUUACAAAUAAGUGUAUCAAUAAUAUACAAACAUCAAAUAUUAAUAAUUUUAUUAUACAUAUUUGAAUUAUUCGUAAAAAGACUCACGAAUGGACGAAUGGAGGUAUGUAUGUACAUAUUUUCGAAAA